CCUACGGGAGGCAGCAGUGGGGAAUAUUGGGCAAUGGAGGAAACUCUGACCCAGCGACGCCGCGUGCGGGAUGAAGGCCUUCGGGUUGUAAACCGCUUUCGGCAGGGAAGAAGCGAAAGUGACGGUACCUGCAGAAGAAGCACCGGCUAACUAUGUGCCAGCAGCCGCGGUAAUACAUAGGGUGCAAGCGUUGUCCGGAAUUAUUGGGCGUAAAGAGCUCGUAGGUGGUUCGUCACGUCGGAUGUGAAAAUCUGGGGCUUAACCCCAGACCUGCAUUCGAUACGGGCGAGCUUGAGUAUGGUAGGGGAGUCUGGAAUUCCUGGUGUAGCGGUGGAAUGCGCAGAUAUCAGGAGGAACACCAAUGGCGAAGGCAGGACUCUGGGCCAUUACUGACACUGCGGAGCGAAAGCGUGGGGAGCGAACAGGAUUAGAUACCCUGGUAGUCCACGCCGUAAACGGUGGGCACUAGUUGUGGGGACCUUCCACGGUCUCUGCGACGCAGCUAACGCAUUAAGUGCCCCGCCUGGGGAGUACGAUCGCAAGNUUAAAACUCAAAGGAAUUGACGG
rnacentral:rRNA from 1 species